ACGUCCCACGACCGUAAACUAUGCUCGCUAGGUGUCGAGGCAUGGCGCGACCGUGUCUGGUGCCGCGAGGAAGCCGUGAAGCGAGCCCACCGUAGGGGAAAGGUUACCGGGCCCGACGAAAGGGCUAGUAAAACGUUAAAGGAAUUGGCGGGGGAGCACAACAACGGGUGGAGCCUGCGGUUUAAUUGGACUCAACGCCGGACAACUCACCGGGAACGACAGCAAUAUGUAGGCCAGGCUGAAGACCUUGCCUGAAUCGCUG
rnacentral:rRNA from 1 species